UCUGUGAUGCCYUUAGAUGUUCUGGGCCGCACGCGCGCUACACUGAUAAAGUCAGCGAGUCGUUAUUCUCUGAAUAGUCCUUGGCCGGAAGGCCUGGGCAAUCUUGUUAAACUUUAUCGUGCUGGGGAUAGAGCAUUGCAAUUAUUGCUCUUCAACGAGGAAUUCCUAGUAGUCGCAAUCAUCAGAU
rnacentral:rRNA from 1 species